AGUCGAACGAUGAACCACUUCGGUGGGGAUUAGUGGCGAACGGGUGAGUAACACGUGGGCAAUCUGCCCUUCACUCUGGGACAAGCCCUGGAAACGGGGUCUAAUACCGGAUAUCACUUCCACUCGCAUGGGUGGGGGUUGAAAGCUCCGGCGGUGAAGGAUGAGCCCGCGGCCUAUCAGCUUGUUGGUGAGGUAAUGGCUCACCAAGGCGACGACGGGUAGCCGGCCUGAGAGGGCGACCGGCCACACUGGGACUGAGACACGGCCCAGACUCCUACGGGAGGCAGCAGUGGGGAAUAUUGCACAAUGGGCGAAAGCCUGAUGCAGCGACGCCGCGUGAGGGAUGACGGCCUUCGGGUUGUAAACCUCUUUCAGCAGGGAAGAAGCGAAAGUGACGGUACCUGCAGAAGAAGCGCCGGCUAACUACGUGCCAGCAGCCGCGGUAAUACGUAGGGCGCAAGCGUUGUCCGGAAUUAUUGGGCGUAAAGAGCUCGUAGGCGGUCUGUCACGUCGGAUGUGAAAGCCCGGGGCUUAACCCCGGGUCUGCAUUCGAUACGGGCAGACUAGAGUGUGGUAGGGGAGAUCGGAAUUCCUGGUGUAGCGGUGAAAUGCGCAGAUAUCAGGA
rnacentral:rRNA from 1 species